GCUUGCAUUUUUGUUCAUUCAUUAUUCAAGAAUUCAUUCAAGCAUCAAUCAUUCCUUUCCAAAUUCAAAUGGAAGAUUUUGAAUUUCAUCAAGAAAAAUAUCAAGAUUCAAAGUUCAUAAAGAUUCAAAUGUUUACAAUUACAAAGGAAUUGAAAGAAAUUAUAUGCAAAACAAGUUUCCGUUCAUGUUACAAUUUUAUUUGGAUUUACCACUACAAAGUUACAAGGAAUUACAAGUUUGUACAAACUAUUAUUUCUAAUGUCCCAAAAUUCCAGCCCAAUAUCAUGUUGCUGCCCAUAUUUUCCAGCCAUGUUGCAAAACAAUAA